ensembl:snRNA U6 U6 spliceosomal RNA
GUUCUCACUUCAGCAGCACAUAUACUAGAAUUGGAACGAUACAGAGAAGAUCAGCAUGGCCCUGUACAAGGAUGACGUGCAGAUUUGUGAGGUGUUCCAUAUUUUU